CCUGCCAGUGCGUGCGUGUGUGUGUGUCCCAUGCCCCUCGGGUAGCCCAGGUUCGCCAACACCGCCCCUUCCACCAAGGGCCCACGGUCCAGCAAGGAUCCCGUCUUGAACAUGGCGAGCCCAAGCCACUACGUAUAGCUUCCAGCGGCGCCGAGACGUGAGUCGCGGCGCUGCUCGUCCAAGUUCCACCGACCAAGACCAAUCAAGAUCCAAGGCCAUUGUGGAUCAGCAAAAAUAUGAUAAAUAGUUGAGCGAGAUGAUGAGCAUAGCAGCGGCAUUAGGCCGCGUCGAGUUGGUUGAUCUAGUAGUUCGCGAUCGAAGUUUCCGGACUUGCUCGAUGUUUCUAGUGGCGCCCCGGGCUAGCCUAGAAUGUUCGAAGAAGUUGUUUAGCACACCCACCAUCGAGCGACGUUUUGGGUAGUUGACGAGGUCGGUUGAAGGUGUGGCACGCCCGCCACCGGAAGUAGUUACCUAGCGAUAUCUAGGGGCCUGACGCACAUUCCAGGUCGACUCCCACAGCUGCACAGCACCUAGCGUUGCCUGAGGAAGCCUAAGACUACGACUAAGCAGCCCGAGACGCUAGCGGUAGCCGCCCCCCUCACAACUAGGUCGCACCAAGCCUGUGCUUAGCUGGCUCCUUGCCCGAACAUUCGUGGCCAACUCUGACUCCACAGCCUGGUUGCAUCAAGGCACCAGGGCUCGUUUGGCGUGUGCUGUGUCUUGCGGUCACAACCCGUGGCUGACUGCAGCAUACUUGUAACGGUUGAGUGCAAAUUCCCCUUCGCGGGUUGCCCCUUCCCCUUCCCCUGCGACCGACGCGUGCGGACCGGACUGGACCUAAGCCCUUCGCCAUAGUGCGCGGCCUCUAGUGUGUCAGGCUUCCCCCGUCACCCCGGCGCCUACAGUCUCCCUUCUCUGGUCUCCCUUCGAGAUUGCAACAUCCUACUGUGAUCCAGCCUCUGCCUCCCUUCUCCCUCCACCGGUUUCCCUUCGAGAUUGCGACCGACUACCGCUCCCGGCUCCUGCUUUCUUCUGCCAGCCAUCUGGUCUGCAUACGGUAUCCUCCAGCCUUGGGUGCAAGCAGCUCGCAUCUGUUGUACCGACUUGCCUGCCUGUGCCUGCAGUCUGUAGCACUCGCAUAGGAUUGCUUGCUUGUAAGCGCACAAACCUGUUGUACAGACUUGCUUGCCUGGGAGCUUAGCUUGCUCAGCUCAGCCGGGUUGCGCAUCAGCAGCGCGUACGACUCCAGCGGGUACUCAGCCUUAUAGGGUAGUCUCGCUCCUCUCUCCUAUCCAAAACCUCUGGCGUUCUACACGCCCUAACAACUAUGCCCAGGCUCCACCUGAGGCUACGGCUUCUAUCCCCUCUUUCUCUCGUGCAGGUCCGGCCAGCCGGUCGCCAAGUCUCUCUCCCUUCUCUCUCUCCCUAUCCCUUUCCUUUACAGGUUCCCCAGCUCUCCUUGUACAUACGACUGAAUCAUCUCUCGACCACACCUCUGGUAUCUCCGACUAUUGCAGUGAUCGCCGCAGGCGCAUCUUGAUCACCCCGCAAGUGCCCAGGACAGCGGCUGGUAUACAGGGUCGGGCGUGGCGGCCGUCCAGCCUCUCCACGCUCCGUGCUCAUACCCUGGGAAGGUCAAAGCGGUGCAGGCCUGUCGUCAUACAGCUGCAUCGUGGCCAGUGCCUCAGUGACAGCCCGCGUUACAGCGCAAAAGUUUUUAUAGUUCCCGGUUUUUUUACGGGUGCUGCGCUUUUAGUGGGGGGAGUUGCGGGAAAUUGUCCUGAGCUCCUCUGCGUCCCCUUACCGUCAUUCCCAGCUUUCCUGGCUACGCCCGGAUUUAUCCGUCUACUGCGACAGCUAAAAUGGUUGACUCCGACGCCGAAUCUUCUUCAUCUGCGUCAAGCCGGCGUUCGAGCCGUUCUACCCAACUCAGGAAGGGCAUUUCGCCCUCUGCUCUUAAUGCUGUUCCCACGUUCAACCCCUCCUCUGAUGACCCGACUGAUUGGAUCGAUUCUAUUGAAAGGGUUGGACAGGUGUUUGGUUGGGACGAUCCCACCAAACUAGCCGUUGCCCGCUGCCGCCUGCUACACUCCGCCAGGGUUUGGGACUCUGCUGGUAAGGACAUCGAUUCCUGGCCGAAGUUCAGUCAAGCCUUCCUCGACCGUUUUGCCCUACGAGAAACAGAAAUCUAUGGCCAACUGGCAUCCUGCCGCCAGGGCCUACGCGAGUCAGUACGUGAUUAUUCCGACCGUUUCCGCCAUCUUCUGGCCCGUCUUGAUAUCAGGCCUGGCCGCGAUUACAUGUACCACUACCUGCGUGGGCUUCACCCCCGCACCUAUCGCAAGGUUCACCUCUUGCGCCCUCAAACUCUGGAAGAUGCGAUUGACGGCGCCAUCUACGUCAGCGAAGUUGAAGAUUGGGACGACGCCAGCACAGGGCGCAGCGCCCCGGCACCUCCCGAACGCAGGGCAGCGCUCGUAUCUUCCUUCGUUCGGAACGAAAUUUGCCCAAAAAGGCCUCUGGCGGACGAAAUGUUUUUGAUCUUGACUUGGAAUCUCGGCCAAAACGCACGGGAUCUUGGGGGGUCUUUCGGCAAACAGACGAAGACAUUUUUGGGAUUUCGGCCACUUUUGGCCAAGGACAGGGGGUUCCAGCGGCUACUCCACGGCCGAAAACUGCGUCGCAUAUGGUAAGAAGGCUCAAAGGGCUGUAUCUAUGGGUGUUGACGGCGGGAGACAGGGGUUCCCCUGGCGGGAGAGUGAGGUUGGGUCGGCGGGAAGCAGGGGAGGAGUGGGCGUGUCGUGUCGGUGUCGACAUCGUGCGGGUCGGGGGCGGAGCCCCCGGAAUAAUUUGGGGGGUGAACGAAGCGGCGGCAGCCUGUUUCGUCAACUAAACGAAGCCAUUUUAAGGAAUUCGGCCACUGACGCCGCCCCUGCCUUCGUAAGAUACGAGCGCUGACGCAGGGUGCGGUUUAAUGAACAACCGCCAAACACCCGCAGCCUACCCUCUCCGGCACCCCCCACGCCUCCUGAGACUCGCCAUGACCGCCACCGUCCACUUUCCUCCUCCCUCUCCCGCCGUGAUGACAGCGUCGUACGCCCCCGUGAUGAGAAGUACUCCUCCCGCGACAGAACCCGUGAAGACCGACUAGACCGGUAUACUGACCGUUCGCGCACGCCGCCGCGGUCCGCCUCUCCCCCAGCCCCAGCUCCUGACUCCUUUGAGCGUGAGCUGGAGGCUCUGCAGUCUAAGCUCGCCAAGAUGACGUUGGCCUACCGUCACGGCCAUGAUUUGUCCACCAAUAUGUAUGAACGUGAGGAGGAGGCUGCUGUGCCUGCAUACCUCUCCCACCGCUACGCUAGUGACUCCGACUCCAGGACCGAAGAUGGCAGGGAGUCAGAGCUGUACUCCAAUGAACACGCCGUCUUCACCACCAAGCGUAUCAGCGAUCCCGAACCCGUACGCUUGCCCAACAGGCGUGCGCCCGCAGACCCCGACGCCCAACCUAUGGAGAUCAACAACCGGCCGCCGCCACGCCGCGUCAGUACUACCCGUGCCCCGUCCAAGGCCCCUGCCGACACGCCAGCCCCCUCAACUCACCGUGCCGCGGACCCUGGGGUGCCCAUAGAUACCUCUCCCGGUUCUGCCGUCAGCAGGCCAGCCAUGCCUUCCCCCGCGCAUAAUGAAUGCAGUAACAGGGGCGACACGAUUUCCGCUGGCCAUCGUGGCGUUGGCCGCGCAACCCGUCGUCCUGGUGGUGGGACUACCCGUGCCAAAAACACCCCGGAAACACCGUCUUCAACUCCUCCUCAGCAGCGACUGCCACCUGCGGCGGUCCCUCUCAACCCGGCUACGGCCGAGCCAAGCCCGCCGCCAGUCUCUUGCACCACCUUCUUGGCCUCUCGUUCUCAAGACUUAACUGCUUCGGACCCUAUGCCCGUCCCGGAUGCGCACACCGCACGGUGGGAUUCUCUGCCUCUCUACAACCUGGACAGCCGUCUCCCCAUGUUUUCAGUGUGCCGGGCUACGGUCACACUAACCAACGCCCGUGGAGAGAAAGAGAGCAUUAGGGCAGUGGUUGACACUGGCGCCUCUUACAGUGUGGUGCCUAUGCAUAUCGUGCGCCGCCUGAACCUGCUGCCUUACGUCGCUGAAUCACGCGCCAUGUUCCUGAAUGCCGAUGGUGUCAAGAAGAAGGCAACUGGUCAAAUACGUGGCAUGCAGGUGGGGCUGGGCCAAGAUCUGAUGUACACCAUGGACAUGUACGUGUCCCAAGCCCAAAACUACGAGUUACUGCUGGGAAUGGACUUCCUGUACCCCAUCAAGGCUUCCGUGGAUUUCGGCGGCGGCCAGCGGCUGCUGUACACCAACGACUACAACCAACGCAGUCACGGGCCCAUUACUUGUGUGGUCGUCGAGGAGCCUCCUUCCCUCAAGACCUCCCUGCCCGGGCUGCAAGGAAUGCCAUCUAUCGGAUACAAUUCUGGGACCUACGGCCACGAACAGGAUGCAAUCCCCGCCCUGCAAUCCGUCAGCCAUGUGGGCCACCUGAAAGAGAAGGCAGGUAAGGCGCUGUAUACCCUCAAGAGCGCCGCUGUGGAGGCUGCCUCUACUGCCUCGUCCGGCAUGAAACAGCUACUCCAACACCUGCCGCGUACCGCUGAGGUGCGCUCUUGGUUGUUUACCACCUGGGAAAACGGGUUGACAAAAUGGACAGCCAAGGAGUACGGCACCGUGUCAAACCAGAUUACACACGACGCCGCCGUCGUAGCAAGCACCCCUAAAACGCCCCUUUCUUCCGACAGCCCUUCAAACAAGACUGCUACCGUUAAGAACCUGCCUCCCCUCGGGACGCCGCCCUUGGCGCCCGUGCGCAUCCCGCGCGCUAACCUUUCUGCCGGGCCAAGCCCUGGCUCACCUCCAACUUCUCCUGGCCUCCUCUGCGAGUCACCCGCACACUUCUCCUGCGACAUCUCUACCAACGAGGCGACGACUACAGAAUUUCCAGACAACCCGAGCGUGUCCCCCGACGGCGCGCCUGAGCCCCCGCCGACUGCCGACGAAAGUGCAGCGGCUGAGGCCUUCAUUGCCUUGGCCCAUCAGGCUGGCGCGUUCCUGCCACCUGAAGCUUCCAACGGCGCACGUUCCCCUCCUCCUUCUCGCUCCGCCUCUGCGUCUCUGAACGUGUUGGAAGGCGUUAAAGCCACAUGUCAUCAACGUGUGGGAGACGAGCUACCUGAGCUCUCGGACGGCGCCGCACCCACCACCGCCGCUCCUCCGCCGUCUUCCCGCGCUCCAAGCAAGAUGUCCCCAACCGAGCAGGAGCACAUUCGUGCAGCCGCCUUACCGCCGGUGCGUGCAAGCCCACUUAUGACCUGCGAUCAGCUGGCCCCUGCAGCAUCCCAGCAGGAGCCAGGAGUUGUGCCCCUCUUCCUUAGCGACGGGCACACUGAUGCCCGCCGUAUGGAUUUUAUCUCAGACUCCCCAGCUCGGCCUCCUCUUCCACCGCCCCAGCAGGCUGCCAACACGCCCAAGGAAGCUACGUCGUCUGAGAAAUUUACACCCGAACCGGAAUCAGCGCCUGAACCUGAGCCUGGCCCUGAACCUGAUGAGCCUCAACCCGAACCCCGCACCCUGCCACGACGCGUAAAGGUGCGCUCUGAGGCUGCACAGCACCCUCAGUCUGCCGCGGCGGCGGCCCUUGCCACCGCUGCCGCCACUCCACCUCCAGCACCCCAGCCAACCGUAACGGAAGCCCCUACAAGGCCUGUGUCGGUGUUGCCGCCGCGCCGCGUCAAUGCUUCCCAACUACCCCGUACAGAUUUGUCAACGCCGUCCGUCAGCCAAGAGAUUGCGACCGAAGUGCCCAACGCUGACCCGACCUUGUUCCCUAGUGGAGACGGACGUGAUCCAAGCCAAGCUUCCGUACACCCCAAGCCGGCUCUCGAGGAGUCGCCCGCCAUGCGCACCCAUAUGCCCAACAUGUUUGAUUUCGAGGUGAGACCCCCUGACGCUGACUGCUGUGACAGCGAACCUAUGGAAGGCCUACAGUGUGACAUCUGCGGCAAAGGAGAGCCGCCCCCAAACAACCUGCUUAUCUGCGACAGACCUGCUAAACGCCCUGCCCAUGGCUGUGACCCGUACUGCCUGUGGCCGCGGGUACUUAACGUACCAUAUGGCUCUUGGUAUUGUCCCCAACACCUGAUGGAAACGGCCAACCUCUCUGGAGGGCGUGGUGCGGACAAGGGCCCGGUACCGGCCUUACCCGGUCGUGCGUCGAGCAUAGGCCCGGUACGGGCCGCCGCCACGGCGGAAGCUGUUGCGGCCGCUGCGGCUGCCGCUGCAACUCCGCAAAACAACGGCGCUGUCAUCCCGACCGCCACCACCGUCACCAAGACUCAAGGGCGCCUGCGCGCCACCGCACAUGGAAUGGAGAAGCCCAAGGAUAAACAGUUACGCGAUCUGCCCCCCGCUACCAAAAUGUCCGUCCAACGGCCCCUACGUGUACAGAAGCUGGCAACUGCCACUGUACCUCCUAUCGUCCUGCAUCGACCCAAAACGGACCGCAACCGAAGGCCCUCCCACCAGUUUCCCCUACCAAGGUAUCUUAUUUUACUGCUGGCGCACGAGCCCAAUCAAAUGGAGGGGCCUGCGUCUCCUACAGCCGCUAGGCAACGGUGGUCAACAAUCGCCUGCUGCACGGCUCAAGAUCAUUUCAACGCGGUUUAUGUAGUGCAAGCCGACCUGCCGCCGCAAGCAAGCAGAAAUGCCUGGGUCAGCACGCUACUGGGUCAUGCAAGGGACGCAUGACUGAAGGCCCGGUAGCGACAGCUGUGGCGACAACAGAUGUACUUCGUAAAUCCGCGGCUGACCCAUCUUUGCUACUGCAGAGGAAAGAGUAGAAAGUGCCGCACUGCAACAGGUUCCUGCUUUCCCCAAUCCCUGCCAGUGCGUGCGUGUGUGUGUGUCCCAUGCCCCUCGGGUAGCCCAGGUUCGCCAACACCGCCCCUUCCACCAAGGGCCCACGGUCCAGCAAGGAUCCCGUCUUGAACAUGGCGAGCCCAAGCCACUACGUAUAGCUUCCAGCGGCGCCGAGACGUGAGUCGCGGCGCUGCUCGUCCAAGUUCCACCGACCAAGACCAAUCAAGAUCCAAGGCCAUUGUGGAUCAGCAAAAAUAUGAUAAAUAGUUGAGCGAGAUGAUGAGCAUAGCAGCGGCAUUAGGCCGCGUCGAGUUGGUUGAUCUAGUAGUUCGCGAUCGAAGUUUCCGGACUUGCUCGAUGUUUCUAGUGGCGCCCCGGGCUAGCCUAGAAUGUUCGAAGAAGUUGUUUAGCACACCCACCAUCGAGCGACGUUUUGGGUAGUUGACGAGGUCGGUUGAAGGUGUGGCACGCCCGCCACCGGAAGUAGUUACCUAGCGAUAUAUAGGGGCCUGACGCACAUUCCAGGUCGACUCCCACAGCUGCACAGCACCUAGCGUUGCCUGAGGAAGCCUAAGACUACGACCAAGCAGCCAGAGACGCUAGCGGUAGCCGCCCCGCUCACAACUAGGUCGCACCAAGCCUGUGCUUAGCUGGCUCCUUGCCUGAACAUUCGUGGCCAACUCUGACUCCACAGCCUGGUUGCAUCAAGGCACCAGGGCUCGUUUGGCGUGUGCUGUGUCUUGCGGUCACAACCCGUGGCUGACGGCAGCAUACUUGUAACGGUUGAGUGCAAAUUCCCCUUCGCGGGCUGCCCCUUCCCCUUCCCCUGCGACCGACGCGUGCGGACCGGACUGGACCUAAGCCCUUCGCCAUAGUGCGCGGCCUCUAGUGUGUCAGGCUUCCCCCGUCACCCCGGCGCCUACAGUCUCCC
rnacentral:lncRNA from 1 species